GGGGAUGCAGCUCAGUGGUAGAGCACUUGCCUAGCAUGCAAAAGGCCUUCGGUUCAUCCCCA
rnacentral:tRNA from 1 species